CGACGCUGGCGGCGUGCCUAAUACAUGCAAGUCGAGCGCGGGAAGCGGACAAUCACCCUUCGGGGUGUGCGUCCGUGGAACGAGCGGCGGAUGGGUGAGUAUCACGUGGGCAACCUGCCUGUAAGAUUGGGAUAACUCGCGGAAACGUGAGCUAAUACCGAAUGAAGUCUUUCACCGCCUGGUGAAAGGAUGAAAGAUGGCUCUUGAGCUAUCACUUACAGACGGGCCCGCGGCGCAUUAGCUAGUUGGUGGGGUAAAGGCCUACCAAGGCGACGAUGCGUAGCCGACCUGAGAGGGUGAUCGGCCACACUGGGACUGAGACACGGCCCAGACUCCUACGGGAGGCAGCAGUAGGGAAUCUUCCGCAAUGGACGAAAGUCUGACGGAGCAACGCCGCGUGAGUGAUGAAGGUCUUCGGAUCGUAAAACUCUGUUGUCAGGGAAGAACAAGUUGUGUUCUAACAGGACAUGACCUUGACGGUACCUGACCAGAAAGCCCCGGCUAACUACGUGCCAGCAGCGGC
rnacentral:rRNA from 1 species